AGUUCUGGAGGCUGGAAGUCCAAGAUCAAGGUGCUAUCAGGGUUGGUUUCGGCUGUGGCCUCUCUUCCUGGCUUGUAGACAGCUAUCUUCUCGCAGUGUCCUCACGUGGCCUCUUUGUGUGAAGGUUUUGGCAAACGUCUAAUGACACAGAGCCACCAUUGCCAAUUUCACCACUGUCUUUCACCAAGUUGAUUCAUUUUGAACUGGCUCCAGCAAUCUACUCAGAGUUGACCUCAGAGCAAAAAAUUGAACAACAGCUCCAUAUGUUGAUGUGAACUGUGACUCCAGGAGAACGGUGGAAAAGUGUCUUGAUCCAGGAAGGAAGGGGUAUAGAGAAAAUAUGAGUCUCACCACACUAGAAGCAACAUAUGCAAAAUCCAUCAAACACACCAUAAAAUCAAUGUGGGAGUAACAACACCUUGGCCUACUGCUCCCUGAAAAGUUUUUCUCUCGUCAAGUGAUGACAGGCGUACAUUUGUAAAUAAAUUACCAAGUUGCUUUUGAUUUGAUGGAGAAGGAAGAAAAGGAUUGUCUCCUGGAAGUAUUUUUAUUGUCUUAAUAGGUAGGAUAAUAUCUCUGUUCAGCAAACUGAGAUCUUUUGAGAAUCUUAACAAAUGUAUACCCCUCCCUCUCACCUUUUCCUCUCUGGUGUAUUUCAUAGGCAGCUUUGCUAACUGACUGCACUACUACAAAUAGAUUCUGUCACUUUAGAAAUAGGAUUUUUCCUUUUAUAGGCAGAUUGAUGGACUAAGUGUCAAGGUUUUAGAACAGUAGCAUGACUGGGGCAGACACUAUAAACCAUAAAUCCAGUAUUGACAAAUGUUCUAGCCAAUCCAGAUUUUCUAUUUGUUAAAUUGCCUUUAUGAAGUCAUACUUGUGCAGCACAGAAUAUGGAAAAUAAUUGACAAGUUCUGAGAAGCCAGUUACUGAGCUCAUAGUUUAAUAAAGAAAAUGUUAAUGAACACUUGAGUAUUAUAAAUUGUUAUAAGAAGAUUCUCUCUUCAUUGUUUGCCAAAGUAUGCUAAUAAUUCUUGACUGACUAAUAAGCAGAGGUCAUUCUAGAUCUACAGAUUUUGAAAGUUGGAACUUUUUAUUUGUACCUUUUGUUUCACUUGUCAAAGUGAGCUAGUAACAUAGAAUAAACUAUAAAAAAUAUGUAACAGAAUCAUAGCUUGAAAAACAUCUUCUUAGAAUUCAAAUUUAAUAUAAAUAUUUUAAGAAAAUUAUAUUUAUGCCAUUGUAAAAACAUUACUUGGGGACUCCCUAAAAAAAGGUAAUAAGGUAUCUCUCAAAAAAGCAUCAGAAUCAAAGAAUAUCCAGCAGCCAACAAUUCUCAUUUUAUAACCCUAAUUCCAAUAUUUGCACUAGAACAUCGGUUGUCCUUAUCCACGCUUCUGCACAGCAAAAGAAACUACCAUCAGGGUGAACAGGCAACCUACAGAAUGGAAGAAAAUUUUUGCCAUCUACUCAUCUGACAAAGGGCUAAUAUCCAGAAUCUACAAAGAACUCAAACAAAU
rnacentral:lncRNA from 10 species